GCGGGUUUAGCUCAGUUGGGAGAGCGUCAGACUGAAGGAAAAACUUCAGGAAUUCUAUCUGAAGGUCAUGUGUUCGAUCCACAUAAACCGCA
rnacentral:tRNA from 1 species